rnacentral:misc_RNA from 1 species
AAAUCAUUCACGUCUAGACAUGGGUUCGGUCUGCUUUGGGACCGAAACUGGCUUAGGUCUAAACCAGGUCCAGAGCCAUUCAACGGUAGACUAGAACCCAUGGACGGGGGGUUUGGUUUGAGGGUUUCUUGAGCUGGACCAUACCAGAACAGCCAGUUUGGCCCGUAGCCCACCAGCCCGAUCCAGUUCAGCCCAUGUUUUGUAAAAAGAUUUCAAAUUUUCAAUUGACUUCUUUAAAAUGUUAAAUAAAUUUAGGUUAAUAAAGGCAAAUGUCUCUCCUAAAAUUAAGAUCAACAUUUAGUUAGUUUCAUAUAAAAAUGCACAUUUCAAUAGAGUUGUCUUAAAAAAAUAUUAAAUAAAUUUAAGUUAAUUAAGGUAAUUGUCUAUCCUAAAAUUAAGAUAAUUUAUUUCCACAUAAUAAUGCUCAUUUCAAUUAACUUUUAAAAAAAAAAUGUUAAAUAAAUUGAAGCCAACAAAGACAAUUGUCUUCCCUAAAAUUAAGGUCACCAUUUAGCUUCCAUAUAAAUCAUGUGGAUAUAUAGAAACUUAUCACCAUUUAGUUUCCAUAUAAAUCACAUGGAUAUUUAGAAACUAAGGCAAUUUAUAGGAGAAAUUACAAUAACAGAAACUAAGCCAACUUCUUAUACUAUAAAUUUCAUAAAACACAAUAUUUUUUGAUAUCAAAAAAAUUAUUGUUUUAAAAAAGGAAACUGUUGGUUUGGUUCAGAACCUACUGAGUCGAAAUGUGCACAAACCAAAACCUUG